CUCGAGCGGACACCACCCUUCCGUCGAGGCCCCGCCCCUCGAGCAGGCCGCGCUCCCUGGCUCAGCCUCCAGCCCGCCCACUGGGAACGAGGCAGGUUGGGACUAUCCACCCCCUUCUACAGCCAUCCUGCUGCAUUGCGUCUUCUGUGUCAAACUGUGAAGAGGACACCAUGCAAGUUCAUUAUGACACACUGCCCUGACCUGAUCUGCACCGGUCUGUGUGAUACGCUGGUGCAGCUGAAAGGGAAGAGCUGGAGAUUUACAAUUCUGAAUUUCCACAGGUUAAUGGGUUCAGCAGUUCCGCCAGCAGGGGGAGCUGUCGCCGGUGACCCGUGAGGAAGGCGUGGCCUGCACUUCCCGCGCUGACCACAGGGUGGCGCUGAGCCGUCUCUGACCCACGGCGCGUGCGCAUUCCCCGCGGACUCGGCUAUGAGCGCAGCUGAGAGGCCUUGUGUCGCAGGCACCGUCAGGGCCGCGGCUGGCACGCCCGGGGUGAGCGUCUCUGCCGAGAGGUGCUGGGUCUCCUUAGGACUUGCUGGGGUUUUGGCUUCAGGACAACACGGGGCCGUGUCCACGCUGACGGGAGCUGGGUUUCCUGACGAUGCAGGCGACGCGGGGAGGAAAAGGUGAGGAGAAGCCUCCUGCUGGCACUGACUGCUGCGGGCCCUCUGUUUACAAAGCUUGUUGUGCUGGCUACCCACACUGCCGCCCCCCCAUUCAGUGCUGUCGUUAGUCUCAUUUCACAGCUUAGAUGCUUAGGAACGUGCCCCAGGUCACGUGCUCACUGGGUGUCAGAGCCAACCCUUUGUGACGCUGGGCCUUGAGGUCUGGACCACUGUGGUUGCACGGCUGGCGUCCAGAGGAUGUGAGCGGGGUGGGGGGGCAAGGGAGUGCUGAGCCGCAUAGGGGACAUGCGGGUGGGGGGCAGGAUCUGACGCCGGCUCAGACUCCACGUCUCCCUCCGCCCCCCGGUGGGUGUGUGCCCCUAGAGGUGGGCUGUUGGGGAACUCCCGCCCACUGGACCGCCGUGGCCUGGGACUCCUGCACCCCUUGCCAGCCCUGGGGGCGCCCGGGGAGCUGAGUGUGUCCCAUCCCCUCCGAGGGCGUCUGGGCCAGAGUGUGGGGCAGAGAGGUGGGGGUAAGGGAGGGACACUGAGGUGCGGUGCCUCUGAGGCGGAGGGGAAAUGGGUGGAACUGGUGUUGAUGGGGUGUGGGAGGGCUGAGAGGAAGGGACGACCCUGACUGCGAUGGUGAUGGUGAUGCCACUGAUUGAAACGAGGAAGAGAACCCUUUACAGAUGCUGGGACCGUAUUUUUAUAUGACACACUUAUCAGGCAUUAUUGAUUUGAUGGAGUUUUUUUGCUGAAAAGAAAACCACCCAAUUCCUUUAUAUGGUAGGAAGAUAAAACUUUCCAGAAUACAUAGAGCAGAAAUAUUAUUAUUCGGGUCAUAAAUUCAUAUUCCCUUCCUGCCUGUUUCAAUGUUACUUUUCCUCCUUUCCCAUCAUUCCUUUAUCCUCUGCUGCUCACUAGGGUAAGAAAACACACUUCGUGCUCUCUGUAUGAUUGGUUUGGCAGGUUCUAUUUUUUUUUUUUUUUUUUGCGGUACACGGGCCUCUCACUGCUGUGGCCUCUCCCGUUGCGGAGCACAGGCUCCGGACGCGCAGGCUCAGCGGCCAUGGCUCAUGGGCACAGCCGCUCCGCGGCACGUGGGAUCUUCCCGGACCGGGGCACGAACCCGUGUCCCCUGCAUCGGCAGGCAGACUCUCAACCACUGUGCCACCAGGGAAGCCCAGCAGGUUCUUCUUGAAUUCUUUGGGCCCCAGGUGGAGGGCCACACUUAUUUCUCAUCAGGCGUCGCCGGUGUUCGUGGUGGUGGCCACGGGUGUGUGGAGCCUGCUCUGCCCCCGUGGAGCACACUGAUGCCCAGCAUCAUAACAAAGCCGUCGAUUCUGCACUGGGGAGAAGGAUUAAAAUGCAGACAGUCUGCCUUGAAACCAUGCUUGUGCUAAGAACUCUGGAAAGUACGUGACCCUUCCAUUCCUGGUAUUUUGAUGAUCUUUUAGAGACUGCCAUCCUUGGAAAUAUCUUCCUAUAAGUUAUAUGGGAUCCCCUGCUCCAUGAAACAAAACCUACUUCAGAAGUACCCCUGCCCUGUGUCCCUGCACAGUUGUCAAGAGGCCCCGCUCCCAGCUUCCCAUCAUUCUCCUGCCGGGCCAUCUGUGUCUUACCCCCAGACACUGAGGAUGCCUGGCAGGGGCCCUGCCCACACACCACCUUGCCAUCCCAGAGGGUCCCAGCCUGGCUCAUGUGUGCGUGUAGGUUUCCACCUGGCAGCACAGAUCCUGUCGGGGAUUCAUCUCCCGUUCCCAGUGAUGCCUGUGCACACCCUCGGUCUCUUACCUAAGCCUAACUAUGACACGCAUGGCUUCACAUGUCCACAGCUGAACUCGUUGGCUGGAGAACCUGCCUGUCCUGGGAGCCUAUUUAACUUAAUAGGC